rnacentral:rRNA from 1 species
CCUACGGGGGGCAGCAGUGGGGAAUAUUGCACAAUGGGGGAAACCCUGAUGCAGCGACGCCGCGUGAGUGAAGAAGUAAUUCGUUACGUAAAGCUCUAUCAGCAGGGAAGAAAUACUGACCUUACGGUCAGCAGACGGUACCUGAGUAAGAAGCCCCGGCUAACUACGUGCCAGCAGCCGCGGUAAUACGUAGGGGGCAAGCGUUAUCCGGAGUUACUGGGUGUAAAGGGAGCGUAUACGGUGCGCCAAGUCUGGAGUGAAAUGCCGCAGCUUAACUGCGGAACUGCUUUGGAAACUGGCGAACUAGAGUGCGGGAGGGGUAAGCGGAAUUCCUAGUGUAGCGGUGAAAUGCGUAGAUAUUAGGAGGAACACCGGUGGCGAAGGCGGCUUACUGGACCGUAACUGACGUUGAGGCUCGAAAGCGUGGGGAGCAAACAGGAUUAGAUACCCCUGUAGUC